GACUGGGUCUUCUUUUACGUGCUGUGUAA
rnacentral:piRNA from 1 species